UACGUAGGGACCAAGCGUUGUUCGGAUUUACUGGGCGUAAAGGGCGCGUAGGCGGCCUGUUAAGUCGAACGUGAAAUCCCCGGGCUCAACCCGGGAACUGCGUCCGAUACUGGCAGGCUUGAAUCCGGGAGAGGGAUGCGGAAUUCCAGGUGUAGCGGUGAAAUGCGCAGAUAUCGGGAGGAACACCGGUGGCGAAGGCGGUUCUCUGGGCCUGUACUGACGCUGAGGAGCGAAAGCGUGGGGAGCGAACAGG
rnacentral:rRNA from 1 species